rnacentral:rRNA from 1 species
GAUUGAACGCUGGCGGCAUGCUUUACACAUGCAAGUCGAACGGCAGCGCGGGCUUCGGCCUGGCGGCGAGUGGCGAACGGGUGAGUAAUGCAUCGGAACGUGCCCAGUAGUGGGGGAUAGCCCGGCGAAAGCCGGAUUAAUACCGCAUACGACCUGAGGGUGAAAGCGGGGGACCGAAAUGCAUCGCGCUAUUGGAGCGGCCGAUGUCGGAUUAGCUAGUUGGUGGGGUAAAGGCUUACCAAGGCGACGAUCCGUAGCUGGUCUGAGAGGACGACCAGCCACACUGGGACUGAGACACGGCCCAGACUCCUACGGGAGGCAGCAGUGGGGAAUUUUGGACAAUGGGGGCAACCCUGAUCCAGCCAUGCCGCGUGCGGGAAGAAGGCCUUCGGGUUGUAAACCGCUUUUGUUCGGGAAGAAAUCCUCUGGGCUAAUACCCCGGGGGGAUGACGGUACCGGAAGAAUAAGCACCGGCUAACUACGUG